UCUGCUUCAUUAAGUUUCCUUUUUACAAUAAUUUGAAUGGAAAUGUAGUUUGGAACAAAAUUAUUGCCGUUUUAAUAUUAUUUUUUUAACCAUUUUUUUGUGUUUUUGCUUGCUUUUCGGGAAAAAUGACGCUCGCUUAUAAUUCUGUCAUAUCAAAGAAAGUUUUCCCUUUCAUAAAACAUUUACAAUGUAGAUAUUGAACACAAAAGUUUCGGCACCCAAGAUACACACAAAUUGCUACAACUUAACAAUGUUUUGCCCCCACACCACUAAGAAGUCACUAUUGUUACAGCGCACAAACCAUAUCGAUUGUGCUUAAAGAAGCAUCAUAAAACACGAACAGUUUGCUCGAACAAAUGUUUUCCUUGCUUUCUGCUUCAAACAAUAUCAUUCGCGACUGGACAAGUUUCUCCAACUGCAGCAAAACGUGUUCAGCUGGCGUCUUUUUGUUUUUGUUUUACUUUCACCACUCUGUGGCUUAAUUUUUGAUAGCCACCGUUCAAUCCAUCCUUCAAACCAUCGUACCCGUGUUCCGCUGGUGUACUUUUAUUGAUAAUAAAAAAUUUUAGAAACCUGGAAGGAAGUGAAAUUUACUUCACUUGGUCGGUGCAAAACUGACUUUAUUAUUAUUAUUUUUUGUCUUCUUGUGAAAAUAAAAUAAACGAAACAACCACACUGAUCGGUAGGGCUAUUUACCUAGCAACGCCUAUUGCGAAGCCCUACUAGACGUGUGCUGCGGUAUAAUUCAUCAGCAAGUACAAGCAAGAAAACUGCACGAUCAACGGAUCCAACUUUGGUCCGAAACAGUAUCAACAUGGCCGGCGUAAAACAAGGUAGGGGUGAUACCAGUGCCCGCUGUGGAAAAUUUUACUGCAACGUAACUUCGCAAAGAAUUUCAACGCCCAAACUGCGCCACGGCUUCAAACCACCAUCUCUAUUCAUCCAUCCAUCCAUCACCUUGCUGCUUACUUCGCUUCUCUCCACCAAGCAGCGCUCUCUCGAGACGGAAAAAGUACAGAAACGCGUUACAUCAGGCCGGUAAGGUAAUUAAAUUUAAUAUUUGAAACCAUUAUCUCAGACGUCCAUUUUAGCAUAAAAACUGUAUCAUACCAUGUUCGAUAGAAGGCAACGGGCAACUUUUUUUCCUCAUUCUUCACAUUUCUUUCGCCUCUCUAUGGCACAACCGUCAACUUUUGUGCGAGUGCUUGGAGUUUCCUUCCAACAGGGUGAGAUCGGGUGUAGAUUUUUCACCAGGAGAAUAUAACCGAUUUGGAGUGGAAGUUUUCGUGGCAGAAAGUUUUUUUUUUCUCUCUCUCUAUUCUAGUCAUAUUUUUUCUUUCGUUUUUCCGCUCUAUCCAAUCUUUUUCUCCUUAACCCCAUAUACACCGUCAGACGAUGAGCGUUGUAAGUAAAUCAUAGUACACCAUGUGUAUGUUGCAUCAUCAUCAUCAUCAUCAUCACCAUCAUCGCUGUAUGCACCAUUACGCCUUGCAAACUGGAUUUUUUGUUUUUGCUUCUUGCAUUCUCACACCCGAUAAAACGCACGACACGAACGAUCUCAGUGGGCGGAGGUGAGAAAUUGAAAAUAAAUCAAAAACACCGUUUAAGAAGCUAUCCGUACCUUGGUUUACAGAGUGCAUUAAUAAAAUUGCAAUAAAAACUAAUUUUAGUUUGGAAGCGAAGCUAAUCGUACAUUUAUGUGCAUAAUUCUGGUAAACUUGGCCCAUUCACGUAUCUCGCCUGUUUGUGUAACAAUUCAUAUCAUUUUUUUGAAAUCAACUUCAUUGCUCGUCAUCAACAACUUUGAGCCCCUCCAUUCUGCUUUCCAUCAAAUGGUAGAGACAUAACAUAACAAAGCCAUUAGAAUUUAUCCCAAGAGCCUUUGAAGCUACCACACUGUUUAUUGAUUUUACACUUCAAAAGCUCAUUCAUACGCUACCGUACGUUCAAAACACGUGCAUCGUACUGGUCUUUCUUCAAAUGCAUCCCCAUUUUCGGAAGACUGUUCGUUUGCCGAUUCAAACUCGGCAAAAUCAGUAUCGAUCCGAUAUCGAUCAUAAAAUCAUCAGCUACUUUCGCAAGCAAGGGAAACGGAAGCCAUCGAAGACUACGGACAUGCUAAUGAAGUUCGAUCUGGGGAAAGAGUUUGGUGCAUCAAGACAAUGCCCGCUACGAGUAUGAAUUCUUGCCGAUGCUUCCAAACGGGGUUCACAAUCUGCAGCAGCAUCCGGAAAUAUCGCCAAAUUCCAAUGGCAGUUGAGGCUACUACCCCAACACCAACGUCGACACCUGGAACGUUUGUAGCUGGAACCCGUUCGGUUGGUGAUUUCACAACUCCCGGACUCACUGAUGCAUGUCUCUCCGAUUGAGUGGUAUUUUGCAUACUUCCAUCAGCAUCACUGCCUGGGCAGGUGCUUUUCGGGGAAGCUGGUUUCGGAACUAUUCCAGUGAAUUUUGCGGCUGUAGUAGUCGAAUAAAUGCAUGACGAUGAGAAAAUAGGAUAAACAUCAACACCGAGCAUCGACCACCACGACCAGCUCAACACUAUCAUCAUCGUUCGUUCGAUCGUUCGUUAUCGCCAUCACAAGCAGCACCCCGUAGCCCCGUUCAUUAUGUUGAUGUUUGUCUCUGCAGUUGUGGCCAUCGCCAUCGAAAGCAUAACAAUUCAAUUCGGGUCUUCGAAUGGGAAACUUACGGUUUUGCACAAAAUGCAUACGGCCACGGGUCGGGGAUAACUUUGAGUCGUAACGAAUCCACUUAAGAAUUGGGGUGCAUUAUCGAGCUCUCAGUACCAGUGCAGUGAAUGCAAGAUACACGAUCAGAAAACGAUUAAUGGGUCACAGACACUAGAUUCUGUUGGGCCCGAUUGCAUUGCUAUUGCUUCCUGUUGUCCAAUCGAAUGGAAAUCUGCAUCCACUAAUCAAGAGCAGACACACUUUUCUUCAGCACUGUACCACCGAUUGGGUCGUCUGAUAGACCUUCAUUGGAUAACGUUUUCUCACUCUUGUGCGUACCGGACGCAUCGGCCAAGAGAACGUGCGUGUUAACGAUUAGCACGUGAUAUUUGUCCACCGCAAACUGAAGUGUUCGUUCGGGUUUGAAUAAAUCCCCUAAAUUCUCGGUCGGUUUUCUUUUCCAUCGGGUGGAAUACUUAGAUACCACUUUCCACAUUCAACCGAGCGGUUCACACUAAAGCACACGCAAACUCAAGCCAGCAUGCGUUUAUUGGACGUGGUGAGACUUUUCAUUUUUUUUUUGUUGCCAAUCAAUGAAAGAAAACAGUAGCCCUCUUUAAUGCCUCUCGAAACUCGCUGCCAGACCGAACCGGGCGAGCGGCGUUUUCUCGUUUUGUGGUUACGCAUUUGCGCGUAAUGCGGUCAAUUGCAUGCUGUGGUCUUGGAGCUGUAAUUAAAACCCGUUCCGCUUCCGAUGCACCCGCAGAUUGUGCUGAUGCCAUUGAGUUGGAAACCACAUUGGAUGCUUUCCACAUUAUGGUGCUGUUUUUUUGUUUUUUUUUGUAAAGCAAAGUAUACUUUUCCUAUCGAUUUUCCCAUCGGCCGUAUCUCCACAAUCAGUGACGGGUGACAAUCAAUUAUAAUGAAAAUAUAUACAUUUUUCCCCCGACGCCAUUGGGAGUCGUUUUUCCUCAGCCAAA